rnacentral:rRNA from 1 species
UGGGGAAUAUUGGACAAUGGGCGAAAGCCUGAUCCAGCAAUGCCGCGUGUGUGAAGAAGGCCUUCGGGUUGUAAAGCACUUUUGUCCGGAAAGAAAUCCUUGGCUCUAAUACAGUCGGGGGAUGACGGUACCGGAAGAAUAAGCACCGGCUAACUACGUGCCAGCAGCCGCGGUAAUACGUAGGGUGCAAGCGUUAAUCGGAAUUACUGGGCGUAAAGCGUGCGCAGGCGGUUUGCUAAGACCGAUGUGAAAUCCCCGGGCUCAACCUGGGAACUGCAUUGGUGACUGGCAGGCUAGAGUAUGGCAGAGGAGGGUAGAAUUCCACGUGUAGCAGUGAAAUGCGUAGAGAUGUGGAGGAAUACCGAUGGCGAAGGCAGCCCCCUGGGCCAAAUACUGACGCUCAUGCACGAAAAGCGUGGGGAGCAAACAGGAUUAGAUACCCUGGUAGUCCACGCCCUAAACGAUGUCAACUAGUUGUUGGGGAUUCAUUUCCUUAGUAACGUAGCUAACGCGUGAAGUUGACCGCCUGGGGAGUACGGUCGCAAGAUUAAAACUCAAAUGAAUUGACGGGGUCAUAGCUGUUUCCU